rnacentral:rRNA from 1 species
AGAGUUUGAUCCUGGCUCAGGAUGAACGCUGGCGGCGUGCUUAACACAUGCAAGUCGAACGAAGCGCUUUACCACGAUUCCUUCGGGAUGACGGUUUAGCGACUGAGUGGCGGACGGGUGAGUAACGCGUGGGGAACCUGCCCCAUACCGGGGGAUAACAGCCGGAAACGGCUGCUAAUACCGCAUAAGCGCACAGUACCGCAUGGUACGGUGUGAAAAACUCCGGUGGUAUGGGAUGGACCCGCGUCUGAUUAGCUAGUUGGUGAGGUAACGGCCCACCAAAGCGACGAUCAGUAGCCGGCCUGAGAGGGCGACCGGCCACAUUGGGACUGAGACACGGCCCAGACUCCUACGGGAGGCAGCAGUGGGGAAUAUUGCACAAUGGGGGAAACCCUGAUGCAGCGACGCCGCGUGAGUGAGGAAGUAUUUCGGUAUGUAAAGCUCUAUCAGCAGGGAAGAAGAAAUGACGGUACCUGACUAAGAAGCCCCGGCUAACUACGUGCCAGCAGCCGCGGUAAUACGUAGGGGGCAAGCGUUAUCCGGAUUUACUGGGUGUAAAGGGAGCGCAGGCGGCAUGAUAAGUCUGAUGUGAAAACCCAAGGCUCAACCAUGGGACUGCAUUGGAAACUGUCGUGCUGGAGUGUCGGAGAGGUAAGCGGAAUUCCUAGUGUAGCGGUGAAAUGCGUAGAUAUUAGGAGGAACACCAGUGGCGAAGGCGGCUUACUGGACGAUGACUGACGCUGAGGCUCGAAAGCAUGGGGAGCAAACAGAAUUAGAUACCCUGGUAGUCCACGCCGUAAACGAUUAAUACUAGGUGUCGGGGGCCGUAUAGGCUUCGGUGC